UGCCUGCGUGCGGGCAGCCUCUGCCUGCGU
rnacentral:sRNA from 1 species